rnacentral:lncRNA from 1 species
GAUGGAGCUGGAGUUACAGAUGGUUGUGAAACACCUGACAUGUGCAUGGUAAAAGUCAAACUUGGCUCCUCUGAAAGAAUAGGACGUCCUCUUAGCCACCUGACCAUCUUUGCAGCCCCUUGAUUUUCCUCUUAUUUUCAAGUAUAUAGGUGUUGGGCAAAUUGCUACACACACAGGUGUUUUGCAAGGUAGGAAGGUUGGUUUAGACAUUUGUCUGUUCAUAUUACAGUGAGGACUCAGGCACUCUUCUUCUUACUAAUAACCCUAAGGCAACAGAGAAUCUUAAGGAUUAUUACUGUUUUCCUUUCUUCUUUCAUUUUGAUAAUGGGGAUUCCCCAUAUGUACUGAUCAUGUGUUCGCCAGUGAGCUACAUCCCUAGUCCUAGACGCUGCUUUUUAUUAUAUAUUGCUGAAGUCCUAGAACUGUGAGUGGUAAGUCAUGCUCAGUUUUGUUUUGUUUUUCAAGACAGGGUUUCUCUGUAUAGCCCUGGUUGUCCUGGAGCUCACUUUGUAGACCAGGCUGGCCUCGAACUCAGAAAUCCGCCUGCCUCUGCCUCCCAAGUAAUCAUGCUCAUUUUAAUCCAGCCAUCAAGAGGCAGAGGCAGGAGGAUUGCAGAAGGUUGAGACCAGGCUGGUUUACAUACUGAGUUCCAAAUCUAUAGAGUGAGACCCUGUAUCAAAAAAAGAAAGAAAAAAGUGAUUUUAAAAACUUGGAAUGUGGAGCUUGAGAUAGAUGGCUCAGCAGAUAAAGCAUUUCCUGUUCUUUCAGAGGAGCUGUUAGAUUCCCAGUACCUAUAUCAGAUGGCUUACAACUGCCUGGAACUUCUGGUGUCUGUCUGUCUGUGUGUGUAUCUGAAUGUCUGUGUAUGUAUCUAUUUCUCUCUGAACUCACUCUCUCUCUCUCUCUCUCUUUCUCUCACACACACACACAAAGAAAAUAUC